AAUUAGAUUACUAGAAAGUCAUGAGCUGUUCGUGUUAGUAGUAUUCAUUUAUUGUACAGAACCGGUCGGCUGGUGAUUUUGCACGACAAACUAUUGAUCGGAAAAGAUAAUUUUAGAUAAACGUUGAUAAAAUAUGGCGAUUUUUAAGCACUCGCUUUGACAAUGUGUGUUUAGUCUUAGUUCUACGGUGAACGACAUUGGAUACAAGUUUAUUUUUCGGUGUUAUUACAAAAUUACGAAAUGUGUUGCGGGUGCGUUUGUUCUCUUCUUUGCAAGAUCAUCAGUGCGAUAAUCUCAGUGUUAUUCUUUAUUGCGAUCGUGCUCCUCGUGCUGUGGCUGGUCGGAGUUAUUUUUGUGACAUAGCGACAUCGAUUGGAGACUGCAAUGAGUCAUUGAAAUAAUUAGAAUAAGAUAUCAUGUCAAUUAAAUUUAAUAUGUAAAUAAUAGUAAUGCACAAAGAUUAUUUUUGAUAGUUUAGUUGUCAUUAAUAACAUAAUAAAUGAUGAACAUUAAUCUGUUAUGAGACUAUAGAAUGUUAAGACAAAAUAUGAUGGUAAAAAUUUAUAAUAUAGCUUUACCAGUCAAAUUGAAUCCCUCAAGUUAAAAAAAAAACUCGAGGUGCAUGUCUCUCUUACUGGUUUAUUGAAUUGAAAAUCGAUUAUGAAUAGUGUUUUAUUUUGUUAAUAAUAUUUUUUAAUGAAAUUCAAGCACUAUAUAGAUACCCUUAAUGACUAAUAAUGACUAAAUUGUGGUGAUUAGUGAAAAACAAAAUAAACUGUAACUGUUAAUAACUGUAACAUUGUAAUUUAAAUUAUUUUUUUCUAGAUUCUAGACUAUUAUAUUUUCUAAUUAAUAAAAGGAAGCAACGAAAUGUGUGUUUUUUA